rnacentral:rRNA from 1 species
AUUGAACGCUGGCGGUAUGCUUAACACAUGCAAGUCGAACGGCAGCAUGGUCUAGCUUGCUAGACUGAUGGCGAGUGGCGAACGGGUGAGUAACGCGUAGGAAUAUGCCUUAAAGAGGGGGACAACUUGGGGAAACUCAAGCUAAUACCGCAUAAUGUCUGAGGACAAAAGUUGGGGACCUUCGGGCCUGACGCUUUAAGAUUAGCCUGCGUACGAUUAGCUAGUUGGUGGGGUAAGGGCCUACCAAGGCGACGAUCGUUAGCUGGUCUGAGAGGAUGACCAGCCACACGGGAACUGAGACACGGUCCAGACUCCUACGGGAGGCAGCAGUGGGGAAUAUUGGACAGUGGGGGCAACCCUGAUCCAGCAAUACCGCGUGUGUGAAGAAGGCCUGAGGGUUGUAAAGCACUUUCAGUGGGGAGGAUGGGAUGUAGGUUAAGAGCUAGCAUUUUGGACGUUACCCACAGAAGAAGCACCGGCUAACUCCGUGCCAGCCGCCGCGGUAACAC